UACGUUCCCGGGCCUUGUACACACCGCCCGUCACACCACGAAAAUCGGCAACACCCGAAGCCGGUGGCCCAACCGUGAGGAGGGAGCCGUCGAAGGUGGGGUCGGUGAUUGGGGUG
rnacentral:rRNA from 1 species